UACGGAGGGGGCUAGCGUUGUUCGGAAUUACUGGGCGUAAAGCGCACGUAGGCGGCUCUGUAAGUUAGAGGUGAAAGCCCAGGGCUUAACCCUGGAAUUGCCUUUAAGACUGCAUCGCUAGAAUUGUGGAGAGGUAAGUGGAAUUCCGAGUGUAGAGGUGAAAUUCGUAGAUAUUCGGAAGAACACCAGUGGCGAAGGCGACUUACUGGACACAUAUUGACGCUGAGGUGCGAAAGCGUGGGGAGCAAACAGG
rnacentral:rRNA from 1 species